UUCCAUCCCUACUAAAGUUCUUAUACCCCGCCCCCUUUUUAUGCCUCACCUGUCUGUGACAAUAGCUUUGUGUCACCAAAAUUUCACAAAGUACAGUGUGAGCUGUUUUAAUCUGAAGUUAUAGCUUAUUGCAGACGUCAUAAUAUAUAUCUGAAGUUAUAGCUUAAAGAUUGUUUUUCUCUCUACUUUUAUUUGAUUAUAUUUUCAAGCAGUGGCUAUAUGUUAAAAUAAACAAUAUCUUUAAUCUGGGUAUUUAAUGUGAAUGGAGUUGAUAUAGAGUUAAACCCAGGGACAAUACUGUCUACAGAUAUAUUUAAUCAGAUAUCAGUCUGUGUGCUGGGUCCCUUACUGAUGAACACACACACACUACAGUCCUACUGCUACGAUCUACGUUGAUUUUAGGUUCACAUAAAAUGUUGUUUAUUCUACAAUCAUACUAGCCUCAUCCCAGAUCUGUUUGUGCUAUCAUAUCAACUCAUGACAGACAGACUGGUGUCCAGGCUACAAUCCUACAGGACACAGACAGACUGGUGCCCAGGCUACAAUCCUACAGGACACAGACAGACUGGUGCCCAGGCUACAAUGGUCUACAUGUCUUUCAGUACCAUCCAGUGUCAUGGGUUAUGAGGCUGAAUUGUUUGUGAAAACACCUAAAUAUAUAUUUUAAAAUGCUAUAAACUACUUUCAAAUCA